rnacentral:rRNA from 1 species
AUUGAACGCUGGCGGCAGGCCUAACACAUGCAAGUCGAGCGGAUGAAGGGGGCUUGCUCCUGGAUUCAGCGGCGGACGGGUGAGUAAUGCCUAGGAAUCUGCCUGGUAGUGGGGGAUAACGUCCGGAAACGGGCGCUAAUACCGCAUACGUCCUGAGGGAGAAAGUGGGGGAUCUUCGGACCUCACGCUAUCAUAUUAGCCUAGGUCGGAUUAGCUAGUUGGUGGGGUAAAGGCCUACCAAGGCUACGAUCCGUAACUGGUCUGAGAGGAUGAUAAGUCAAAGUGGAAGUGAGAAAAGGUCCAGAAUCGUACGGGAGGCAGCAGUGGGGAAAAUUGGAAAAGGGGCGAAAGCCUGAACCAGACAUGCCGCGUGGGUGAAGAAGGUCUUCGGAUUGUAAAGAACUUUAAGUUGGGAGGAAGGGAAGUAAGUUAAUACCUUGCUGUUUUGACGUAACCAACAGAAUAAGCACCGGCUAACUUCGU